rnacentral:rRNA from 1 species
AUGUCGAAGCGGCCAUGGUCGUCCGGCCACCCCUCCGCUCUCCCGCCGGCCAAGCGGCGGCAGCAGCAGCAGCAUCUCUACGUGCUGCUGGACGACUGGGAGAGGGGCUGCAGCAUUUACAGGUUCGGCGAGGACGACCUCGACGCCGACGCCGACGACGAUGCCGACGAAGGCUGCCUGGACGGCACGCCACCGAUCGCCCGCCUCGAGGCGCGGCACCCGCUCCCGUGGGCCUUCGCCGCGCACGGCACCAAGAUCCUGGCGGUGCGCGCCGCCGAGGGCAGCCCGGCGAUCCCCGGGUUCGACACCCGCACGAUGGCGGUGGUGGCGUGCCCGCUCCCCGAGGCGAACCGCGGCAUGACCUGCAAGCCCUUCUACGCAUCGGCCGCCGGCGACAGGCUCUUCGUCAUGGCCUACCGGUAUAUCGAGGAGCUCGGCCCGCAGCCGCCGCCCGACGACGACCGGCCCCCGCCCGCCUGGUCCUGGUCCGGGAUCGACGACGCGGCCCCGCCCUUCUGCCCCAAGUACGUCACCUGCCAGGCGCGGCACCCGGACGGGCGCACCGUGUUCGCGUCGGUCAUGGGGUGGCGGCCCGGCGGUGCGCAGAUACGCCAGCGGAGCACCUACUCGUUCGACGCGGACCGCCGCGGGUUCCGCUACCACGGCGAGUGGCUGCUGCCGUUCCGCGGGGAGGCGCACUACGACGGCCAGCUGGACGCGUGGGUCGGGCUCGCCGACGAGGCGCCCGGGCACGUCGCGUCGUGCGACGUGCCGUCGAGGCGGGCCGAGCCCGCCGGCGAGGCCAGCGAGGGGCCGGACUGGAAGCUCGGCGAGGAGAGGCUGUUCGACUUCGACUUCGAGUCGACGGGGCACCUCGGGGCCACGCUGGUGUACAUGGGAGGAGGCAGCAGGUACUGCCUGAUUGAGUGCUGCGCGCUGAGGGGUGACGACGACGGCGACGACCCGCGCUGCCGCCGCCGGGUGGUGCAGAUGACCACCUUCGCUCUCAAGUACGGCAAGAAGGGGGAGCUCCGGAUCGUCGGCCGUGGGGGUCGCGCUUCCAUGGCGUACACGGUGGCCCAUGACAUGAAUCCGCCGACACUGAGCCCUACCGCGUUCUGGAUGUAA